GUGGGGAAUAUUGGACAAUGGGCGAAAGCCUGAUCCAGCCAUGCCGCGUGUGUGAAGAAGGCCUUUUGGUUGUAAAGCACUUUAAGCGAGGAGGAGGCUACUUGGAUUAAUACUCUAGGAUAGUGGACGUUACUCGCAGAAUAAGCACCGGCUAACUCUGUGCCAGCAGCCGCGGUAAUACAGAGGGUGCGAGCGUUAAUCGGAUUUACUGGGCGUAAAGCGUGCGUAGGCGGCUUCUUAAGUCGGAUGUGAAAUCCCUGAGCUUAACUUAGGAAUUGCAUUCGAUACUGGGAAGCUAGAGUAUGGGAGAGGAUGGUAGAAUUCCAGGUGUAGCGGUGAAAUGCGUAGAGAUCUGGAGGAAUACCGAUGGCGAAGGCAGCCAUCUGGCCUAAUACUGACACUGAGGUGCGAAAGCAUGGGGAGCAAACAGGAUUAGAUACCCGUGUAGUC
rnacentral:rRNA from 1 species